ensembl:rRNA 5S_rRNA 5S ribosomal RNA
CAUACCACCCUGAACGCGCCCGAUCUCGUCUGAUCUCAGAAGCUAAGCAGGGUCGGGCCUGGUUAGUACUUGGAUGGGAGAAAACAUGUA